UCAUAUGUACAUGCCUACAAUGUUAAUGCACCAUAUCCCAUUAUAAAUAUGCAAUUAAUCACACUAGGGAUAAAGUAGUAUCGGGAUGGGUGACCUCCUGGGAAGUCCUAGUGUUUUACAUGCC
rnacentral:rRNA from 1 species